AACGAACGCUGGCGGCAUGCCUAACACAUGCAAGUCGAACGAGACCUUCGGGUCUAGUGGCGCACGGGUGCGUAACGCGUGGGAACCUGCCCUUAGGUUCGGAAUAACUCCCCGAAAGGGGUGCUAAUACCGGAUAAUGUCUUCGGACCAAAGAUUUAUCGCCUUUGGAUGGGCCGGCGUUGGAUUAGCUAGUUGGUAGGGUAAAAGCCUACCAAGGCGACGAUCCAUAGCUGGUCUGAGAGGAAGAUCAGCCACACUGGGACUGAGACACGGCCCAGACUCCUACGGGAGGCAGGAGUGGGGGAUAUUGGAACAUGGGGGGAAGGCUGAUCCAGCAAUGCCGGGUGAGUGAUGAAGGCCUUAGGGUUGUAAAGCUCUUGUACCCGGGAUGAUAAUGACAGUACCGGGAGAAUAAGCUCCGGCUAACUCCGUG
rnacentral:rRNA from 1 species